AGCACUGAAAAUAUACUGAAAACUCCAGAUAGCCUAAAACUCCCAAAAUCACUGUUCCACUGAAUUUGUAGAGUGAUCUCGAAGGUUCAGGUUUUGAAAUUCAAUUUCCAGUUUGAAUAAGGUUGAAAAAUGGCUUGAAUAGUCAUGUUUCAGUUAUUGUGGUUUCUAGAAGUUCCUGGGGUCAUUUCUGGGUUUAUUUGAGUUCAUUCGAGCUGGUUUUGGGAGUUUCACUGGUAUUGUUCAUUUGAAAUUAAUUGCUAGUCUAUUGAGAUAUCAUUUCUGGGUCAAAGUUAGUGCAAAGCUGAUAUUGUUGCUUAUUGUUGUUGGCUAUUGUUUACUGCUGAUGACUUCUUCCUUUUCUUAUUUUGAUUCAAAUUCCAUAUAUAUUUUUGGUAUCUAGUAAUAUUUAGUGAUUGGAACAGCAUAUUUGAAGAUGAAUAAUAGAUCCUGA
rnacentral:lncRNA from 1 species